AUAACUGGUUUGUGGAGAGCUCCUCCAUAACACCCACAUCCUCAAUCUCCAAAGCUACCUUGAGUGCCACAAUCCUAUCUGAUAGCUUGGUCGGUGUCAUGCAUUGAUGCAGCAAUCAAACAAUUCUAGCAAAGAGCUACUUUAUGAAAAUGAUCUGGAUGCCCCUCACCAUAGCCUCCACACCCCCUGAUCCUUAUCUAAGGCUUUUGUAGAACUCCCAAACAAGACUAGAGU
rnacentral:lncRNA from 1 species